GGGGAUUUAGCUCAGUGGCAUGAGCGCCUGCCUGUCAAGCAUGACAUCGUGAGUUCAAUCCCUG
rnacentral:tRNA from 1 species